GGGUCUCCAGACCCAUUCAAAUAUAUGAAAACCCCAAAACUACUCCCAGGAAGCAAGGAUUUUAUAUCAAAGAAUCAAGAAUUAGUAAUAAUGGUCGGUUGUCCAGCAUCAGGGAAGAGCACAUUCAGAAAGACGUAUUUUGAACCUCAUGGGUACAUUGCAGUGAACAGGGACACCUUAGGAACUGCGGAAAAGUGCUUAAAGGUCUGCAAGGAACAACUUUCAAAUGGAAAAAGCGUGGUGGUUGACAACACAAAUCCAAAAGUAGAAGCCAGAAAAUCCUUCAUUCAGUUAGCACAGAAACAAGGAAUUCCAUGUCGAUGUUUUGUUAUGAAUACACCACUUGAACUUGCCAAGCAUUUGAAUUAUGUCCGUCAAAAUCAGACCGAUGGAGAAGUGAGGAGAAUUCCUGAAGUGGGCUACAAUGUCUACAAGAAAGGAUACAGUGAGCCCACGAAGGGGGAGGGCUUCAGUGAAAUAGUUCAAAUUGACUUCAUUCCAUCGUUUAACUCUAAGAGAGAUGAGGCUUUGUUUAAACAGUGGACCAGCACCGAGCGAUGAUGAAACAUAUUACAUUCUCUUUUUUAAAUUAGAAAAAAGGUGUUUUGUAGAAUAUAAAGUACUAAAAGCACAACAUUUUUAAUAUGUAUAAACUAUUAUACUACAUGUAUAUAUACAUUCAAGGGUCAAGAUAUUUUGUUUUAUUGUUGUUUUGUGUAACCUUAGACCUUGAUUUUGUCAUUAGUUCGCUAGAUGCAAGCCCAAGCAAGUACUUGCCAAAUUCCCUAUCCCUCUAACAGAUCAGUGAACAUUUUACUUUUACCUGAUUAAUUAUUUUAACUCCAAGUCUAGGGAUAUGUACUGUGUUCCUCUACAGAUUUAGUGCCUUUUUGAUGUUCUUUGUUGUUAGUAUCUAUUUUGUAUUCUAUCCAGAUGAAGUUGAAUGUGAUGUUUUUGAUGAUAAACAUCUAUUAUAGAUACAUGCAUGUUUUUUGUUGUUGUCCUGUUUGACUUAAAGAAAUUGCCCUAUAACUUACCUUUCAGUUACAGGUUCAUAUAUAAACAUAUAUAUUUAUUGUACCUUUCAGUUACAUGUUCAUAUAUAUACAUGUAAAUAUAUUCAUUGUAUAUUUAAUUAACAGUGUUGUUUCAUUAAUUUAUCAAAAAGUUGUAUUUUUUACAAUUCAUGUUGUUAUAAACAUGUUAUAAGAUUUAUUUUUUAAAAUUUAAUUCAUGCUUAUUUUACACAUGUUGUAUUUUAGUUUUGAUAUAUCAACAUACUUACAGUCGUUACCAACCUUAUUUUGUGCUUUAUUUUAUACUGAAUAAAAAAAAUCGAAGAGU
rnacentral:misc_RNA from 1 species